GGAAGUCAUCCGGCCGGAUGAGGAGCCUGUCUCGAAAACAGGUAGUUGCGAAAGCGACUUGUGAGUUCAAGUCUCACGGCUUCCGC
rnacentral:tRNA from 1 species